rnacentral:lncRNA from 1 species
UACCACGAUGAGUACCAUUCCUGAAAUUAGCGACUUCUUCACAGUUGUUAGGGGAGAUAGUUGUGAUACCUCUGCCCCAUGGGAGGCUGCUUCUGCUUCUACAGGUAGCAGGGAUAUCACUUCUGGAGAAAAUGAACAUGGGCUGUUUAUUGGAGAUACCUGCAGUCCUCUCUGUGCUGAAAACAUAUCAGCCACUGCUGCUACUCCUGGCUCCACCAUGGACAUCAUGGGUACCAAAGACCCUCAAGAAAACACAAGCUACGAGGACUCCACCCCUCAAGAUAAAGAUCCUGCAAUAUUUCCAGGGGUUCUCACUAACAAUGCUAGCCCUGUCCUUGACCCUGAAGAGAUUUCCCACAAGGUCUUGAAAGGAACAUCUUCCUAUGCUGCUGAUAGCACCCCUUUUCUCCCAGACAGUGGCUGUGGCAGCCUCUUCAGUGCGGAGGAUUCAGUCCUUGAUGUAACAUGCUCAGCUGCCUUUCAACUACCUUCAGCUGUAAUCUCAGGAUGUAUUGCCAGUCUCUCCUCUGUUGACAACAGCGCAGCCAUGGAAGGAACAUACACACUUAAUGGUUCUGGGGGUAGACCUGCUAGUGAAAGCAGAACGGAUGUGACAAUUAUAGACAGCUGCAGUUCUACCUCUGCUCCCACAAUGGUUGCUUCUGCAAACAUGUGCAAUGCUUCUGCGGAUGACAAUGUUUAUACUUUGGGAAGUAUAGCCAACACUGUCUCUUUAGGGAAUUCCAGAUAUACUGCGACAACAGAUUCUGGAAGUCCUGCUAUCAUUUCUGGUGAGAACACAACCACCUCUAUUCCUGAUGAGCAUAUUACAACUUUUGGAAACCUCUCUACCAUUGCCACUGUCAACAAGCCUUUCCCUGUCACCUCUCACAAUGCAAGCACCAUGGUUUAUUCUGGAGGUGUCACACCUGAUGGAAUCAAAAACAUGGCCUCAGCUAUUGAAGAGAUGCCAACCACUGCCACAGUCGAAAACACAAGCAAAUAUAAUCUUUAUGGAAGAUCUGCCACUUUGUUGUCUUCUGGAGCUAUCAGGGAGACUAACAUUCUUAGAGAAGAGGCAAUCAAUGUUUCUGAAAACGACACUAUUACACCUAGCUCCAUUAAUGUCCUUAGAUACACACAUGCCAUGGAGCAUAGUGUUUCUGGUGAUAAC